GACGAACGCUGGCGGCGUGCCUAAUACAUGCAAGUCGAGCGGACUGGCGGAAGCUUGCUUCCAAAGGUCAGCAGCGGACGGGUGAGUAACACGUGGGUAACCUGCCUGAUCGUCUGGGAUAACGCUUGGAAACGAGUGCUAAUACCGGAUAAUCUCUUGCAUCGCAUGGUGCGAGAGUGAAAGAAGCUAUCGCUUCACGAUCAGAUGGACGCGCGGCGCAUUAGCUAGUUGGUGAGGUAACGGCUCACCAAGGCGACGAUGCGUAGCCGACCUGAGAGGGUGACCGGCCACACUGGGACUGAGACACGGCCCAGACUCCUACGGGAGGCAGCAGUAGGGAAUCUUCCGCAAUGGGCGCAAGCCUGACGGAGCAACGCCGCGUGAGUGAUGACGGCCUUCGGGUUGUAAAACUCUGUCUUCUGUGAAGAAUACGCCUGUGAGUGGAAAGCUCAGGCUUUGACGGUAACAGAGGAGGAAGCCCCGGCUAACUACGUGCCAGCCGCCGCAGUAACAC
rnacentral:rRNA from 1 species